GCUCGGGUGGCCUAGUGGUUUGAGCGUCAGCUUCGCAUGCGGGAGGUCGUGGGUUCGAUCCCCGGCCAGUGCU